UCCAAAAAUGCAUUCAUGUUUAUUACAAAAAAAAACUGAUGUCACAGGCACUUUGAAAGCAUUUGUGCAGACUCUUUAUCCACACUAUUAAAAUAUUUUCUGAUUUCAGGUAAUAAAACACUUAUAUGCACGUGCAACCUCAUCUAUAGCGUUAAACACAGAUAUACAACUGAUGUAAGGAAACAUGAACUAAAUAAGCCUUUUUGGGGAUAAUGAUCUAUUUAGUUUUAACAUAAAAAUUGAGAACUGAUAYUCAACUUGCAGAAAUAUGAGUGUUCAGAAAAUAAAAUCACAGACAAAAAAUGACUCCAAAAAACAAACAUUUAGUCUUUAUUUGAUCUCUUUAACUGAUAAGUAGCAAUGUAAAACCUGAUGUCUAUUUAGAUUUAAAGCAGCUGUAAAUUUCAUUAAAAAAACUUACAAGAGGUGCAAAACGAUCAAAAAUCCCUUUGUUACACGUUGUUACAUGUAUGUCAGGAUUUAGUGUUAAAGGGAAAAUCAACAAAAGAUUAAUUCUCUAGUGUGGUGCUAAUAAAAAUUCACAGUAGUUGUUUAAAAAGUUAUCUUUGAAAAUAAGUCAGAAAUUUAACGGAGGAGUUUGUGAUUUCAGCAGAACGGCUCGUCUCAGACAACAAAGACUGUUGUCUGGACUGGUUCUGGACUCAUUGUCUCACAGCUUUCGUGGAAAAGCACAUCUUUACACGCGAGCAGCAGCAACUCGAGGCACCUCCAGUCAGAACUCGUCCAGUGUGUGUGUGUGUGUGUGUGUGUGUGUGUGUGUGUGUGUGUGUGUGUGAGUGUGAUUCUGUUACAGCAACAUGAGAUGCCUUGGCUUUUUAAAGAGACAAAACAUUCAAUCCAAAGACGAAACCCAAAUCUUAUUGCAUCAUCUAAAUCACUUAAAUACAUUAASGAAUGACGACUAACGGUUUGGUAAGUGCAGAGCAGAGCUGAGCUCGGUUAAAGAUUCCAGUAAGGUGCAAAACGCCAGCGCACAAAGCAACUCAAACUAGACGAGAUAGAGAGAUAGAUAGAGAGAGAUAGAGGGAGAGAGAGAGAACGGUGACUCAGCCGGACAUGCCACRCCUAAACCUCCUCUUAGGAUUGAACCUAUGCUAUUGCUGUGUGCAGCUUGACGUGUUAAGCCCCGAGGCUGCACCGUGACACCCUCAGCCGGUGCCGGACACACCCAGGGGUGCACUCGGAUGUCUCUUUGAGGACGGGGGGGGGGGGACUUGGCCUGAGUUUGGCUCGUGCAGCCCUUGGUGCUAAACCUUUGACAUCCGUACGACAACGUUGGAAGAAUGUGACGCUACGACAUCGGCAAGAMACAUGAGAACAUUUCCACUGAGGCACGGAGGGGAAGUUGAUUCUACAGCUAAA